ensembl:lncRNA
UUCAGUCAGGCCAUGCAGGGCGUUUAUUUAACAAGAUUUUGGUAUCUCCGUACAGUUCCCACCUAGAAUGUCUUUCCUUCUCCUCUCUACUUUAUGAAAUCCUUCUAAUUGGCCAAGGUCUGGCUCAAACGUCGCCUUCCUUGCAAAGCCUUCCUCAGUUCCCGGGAUGGCUUAGUCACUUUCCCCUUUCUGUUUCCAUUAUACUAUGUUCAUGCCACUAUUUUAGCACCGCUGGGCUUGUGUGUACACUAGUAUAGUUCAUUUGUUUAAUGCAUCCCUUAUCUCCUGGGUUCCAAGCACUGGGUGGGAUGCUGAAGAUACAAAGUUCAACAAGAUACAGUGCUUGAUUUUGAGGAAAUCACACAGAGUUAUGAGGAUCCCAGGGUCAUGGGGAAAAGAUGAAAAUUACCAGGUGCACGAGGCCCAUGAUCAAGAGAACAGGGUCAUCAGUGAGUUCCAUGUAAGGGUUCAAAGGCCAGCACCCCUGCCUCCCAACUGGAACAAUUCUCCAGAGCCAGCACCCCUGCCUCCCAACUGGAACAAUUCUUCCCUCUCCGGGGAAGCUUCAGCAGAGCUUCCUGCAGGAUUCGCUGUGGCCUUUGGUGAGGCUACGCGGCAGCACAAUUUCUUCCUGUGCCCAAUCCUAAAUUUCUUUUGCUUAAAAAAUUUAUGAUUUUAUAAAAACAAUAAUGCUUAUGCAUAUGUAACUUACCUGAAUUUCAGUUUUUCUUUUGUAAAAUGGGUCAAUAGUUGGCUCUAAGGCCUGAUUGUUUAAUUAAUACGUGUAAGUUGUGCUUUAUUACCUGUGAGAUACUAUAUAAAUAUAUCGGCACUGUAUUUAAACAGUCUCCCCGUUUUCUUCAGGCAGAGCAGAAAUAUGAUGCCUCUCAAGGUUCUAUAGUAGUCACUACCUCACUUAUUCACCCGCAGACUAAAAAUAUUUCAGUUAAAGUGGAUACAAAACUUGGCUCAGUAUUUCCUUGCUUUUCAAAAUACCUAGAUAGUUGUGCAUCCUAAAAACAAUGUUUUAGGUACAGCCAAUAAGUAAAAAUCAGCUCUUGUUUGUUUAAAAGCAUUUCCAUGUAACACCUAUUGCAAACAACACACCCCCAAAAUCAACAAACCCAGAAUCAUUCAUGGAAAGUUUUUUUUUAACACUGUCAUGCUAUUGCAUCAGCCUAGUAUGCUAGAAGCACUCCCAGCAUUUUGGAGAUAAACAGUAUUACCCUUUGGAGUCCUUCCCAACUCAACAUUUGUUUUAAAUGAGCACUGAAAAUGUGACAAGGGGCCCUCAGUUCAUUUCACUUCAGCUGCUUCCACCUUCCCUCUGGACCAUGCCUGCCUUCUCAUCCACAUAAAGUCACAAUCUCCAAGCCUGUUGCAGAGGGCCUUUUAACUAGCCAUCCAUUUCGCUCUUAUCCUUGCAAGUUACCGUGAUGGUAAAUUUCAGGUGUCAGCUUGAUUGGCUUAAGGAUUACCUAGAGCAACGGUAAAGCCUUAUUUCUGGAUGUUAUCCGACCCGCCAAACCACAGAGUUGCGCAUGCUCAGCAGCACUCCGUCAUCAGAUGUAUAUACGGUCAGACCUGAGAAGGUCCUGAAGGCACGAGUAAGUCACGUGAACAUGUGGCCCAAGUUACCCCCGGUUCCUCCUCCUACCACCCUGCCUUCUCUCUCCCAGCCUGUACCUAUGACCUUAUGGGAAGUGCCCUAUGUCAACUGACAGAGGAAGAGAAGAC